AGGUCAGUAGUUCAGUUGGUAGAGCGUCGGUCUCCAAAACCGAAUGUCGGGGGUUCGAGUCCCUCCUGACCUGCCA
rnacentral:tRNA from 1 species